GACGUAGGAUGCAAGCGUUGUCCGGAAUUAUUGGGCGUAAAGAGCUCGUAGGCGGUCUGUCGCGUCUGCUGUGAAAAUCCAGGGCUCAACCCUGGACCUGCAGUGGGUACGGGCAGACUAGAGUGCGGUAGGGGAGAUCGGAAUUCCUGGUGUAGCGGUGAAAUGCGCAGAUAUCAGGAGGAACACCGGUGGCGAAGGCGGAUCUCUGGGCCGUAACUGACGCUGAGGAGCGAAAGCAUGGGGAGCGAACAGG
rnacentral:rRNA from 1 species